ACAUACGCUCAAGCAACCUACCCGAACUCUCAGCGGGCCACCGAUUGAGUUCCUAUUUGGUCUUGCUACGAGUGGAGUUUACCCUGCUGUGGAAUGUUACCACCCACACGGUGCGCUCUUACCGCACCCUUUCACCCUUACCGACAAAGCCGGCGGUCUGCUCUCUGUUGCACUGGUCGUAGGCUCACGCCCCCCGGACGUUAUCCGU
rnacentral:misc_RNA from 1 species